UUGAGGCGGUGGCGGCGAGAAGGUCUUCUUCUUCGGGUUUUUUUUCCUAUUAGUAUUAAUUAUUAUUAAUUAUUAUUGUUGUUAUUAUUUCAUUUAAAAGGAAAAGUCAGCCGCAGAGGGAAGGCGGGCUCCAAAAUGUAUUCUGAGGGAAGGCGAAAGUUCCGUUACUGAGGUGAUGACUGAGGGUUGGUUUUCUCUCCUUUUAUGGUUUGUGGCUGCACUCUGGUUGCUAGCGCUGCCUGCUCUGGCUCCACCUACCGUUACCUGUUUUGCACUCUGCUCCGCCGGACCCAAUGGACACCAGCCGCCACUGGCUACAAAUAGGAAUUGUCCCUGAAGCUGAGGUGGGCCACCCGGUGGUUCCAGGACUGAACAUGUGAAAACAGGGCACCCUAGUCUUUCUUGAACACACUGCCCACAUAAAGACCGAGGGCUCUGCUGCUUAGCACAUUUUGAAAUUGCAAACUCAUCGGACUCCCUAAA